AGAGUGAACGCUGGCGGUAGGCCUAACACAUGCAAGUCGAACGGCAGCACAGUAGGAGCUUGCUCUUACGGGUGGCGAGUGGCGGACGGGUGAGGAAUACAUCGGAAUCUACCUUUUGGUGGGGGAUAACGUAGGGAAACUUACGCUAAUACCGCAUACGCCCUUCGGGGGAAAGCCGGGGACCAGCAAUGGCCUGGCGCUGAUAGAUGAGCCGAUGUCGGAUUAGCUAGUUGGUGAGGUAAUGGCUCACCAAGGCGACGAUCCGUAGCUGGUCUGAGAGGAUGAUCAGCCCACAC
rnacentral:rRNA from 1 species